CCUACGGGAGGCAGCAGUGAGGAAUAUUGGUCAAUGGACGAGAGUCUGAACCAGCCAAGUAGCGUGAAGGAUGACUGCCCUAUGGGUUGUAAACUUCUUUUAUAUGGGAAUAAAAUGUUCCACGUGUGGGAUUUUGUAUGUACCAUAUGAAUAAGGAUCGGCUAACUCCGUGCCAGCAGCCGCGGUAAUACGGAGGAUCCGAGCGUUAUCCGGAUUUAUUGGGUUUAAAGGGAGCGUAGGUGGAUUGUUAAGUCAGUUGUGAAAGUUUGCGGCUCAACCGUAAAAUUGCAGUUGAAACUGGCAGUCUUGAGUACAGUAGAGGUGGGCGGAAUUCGUGGUGUAGCGGUGAAAUGCUUAGAUAUCACGAAGAACUCCGAUUGCGAAGGCAGUUCACUGGACUGCAACUGACACUGAGGCUCGAAAGUGUGGGUAUCAAACAGGAUUAGGUACCCCAGUAGUC
rnacentral:rRNA from 1 species